CUCAAGGUCGCUCAGCCAGGAAGGGGUGGCAUCAAGAUUUGAACCCACAUGAGGGACAUGAGGGACCCCUGCUCAGGCUGCGAGGGACUCUGUCCGUGUCACUGCAAAGAACUGAGAGGUGAAAUAUCCACCCAUAGAGGAAGUGCAAAGUACGCUAUGGUAUGUCCGGUAUGUCCAUACUAUGGAAAACUGUGCCACGGUUCAACUUAUGUGUACAGUGUGAUACCGUUUCCAUCAAGAAGAAAAGCCCCACAGCCGUGCCAUAUGUUGUGUGUGAAGACGUUGCUGUGUAAGUACAUGCAUAGGAAGGGAUGUGAACGCACAAUCCAAAGGAACUGCCGACUGUGGCUGUGCCGGGAGGGGAGGGGAGAGGAGGGGGGGGGAGGUGGGGGUGCAGAUUGGAGUGAGGGUUAAGUGGCUUUGAACACACCAGUUUGCCUGGAACAGAAUGCAAACAAAAUCUGAUAAAAAUGGAAAGAACGAGAUGGCUGUGCUCACCCUGGUAGAUACUGUUUUUUUUUGUGUGUGUGUGUUGUUGUUGUUUUUUUACCUCCUUGAAGGAAGCCAUUAACUGUACUUACCUUGGAGGGGGAUAGACAGAGGGUGUAAACAGAUGGGAAGUUCCACCAUUAGUUUUGUCUUCCAUGCUCUCAAUUUUCUAACCAUGUUUAUAUGCUGUUUUAUUUUUUAAAAUGCCAAUAGAGUUUUCUGGGUGAUAAGAUAAUAGGUCUUUUUUUUGCUGUUUUCUUUGUAUUCAUCUCUAUUAAAGUAACCUAGUAGAUGUUAUUUGAAAGGCAUUUAUACAAAGUAAUAUGUGAUCCAGAUUAAUAAUUUUUAAAAUAGAGGAAAGCAUAAAGAACAGAGUUUACAUCAUCCGUAGUCUUCCUAUCAGACAAGAUGGUCAUUAAUAACAUUUUUGAUGAUUUCCUCUGGUCUUUUUUUCUUAUUUCUAUUUUAAUGAAAUUGAGUUUUAUUUUUUGUUCAGUUUUGUACUCUGUUUCUUUUAUUUAAUAAGAUAUUAUAAGCAUUUCCCAUACUAUUAAACAUUCUUCAAAUAUAUAGUUUGUAAUAGUCAUACAGAACUGUACUACAUACACGUACAUACUGUGAUAUAUAAAAAUCAACAUUUUAAUGUCCGAAGGUAAGCAUUUAGAGUGUUUUAUUCUUCUAAUCGGCCCCUAUGGUAAUGCUAUCAUCCCCAUUUUAUAGAUGAGGAAGCAGAGGUUCAGAGAGGUCAUGGAGAGAACUGGCCCAAGGGGCCUGAGCCAGUGAGUGGCUACGCCACGUCUCAAACUCAUUAACUACUGUUUUAUUUUAUUAUUUUUUAAAGAUUUAUUUAUUCAUUUUAUUUCUUAUGAUAAAACAGAUUUUUAUUUUUAACAAUA
rnacentral:lncRNA from 1 species